GGAUGUGAGGGCUGCGACCUCUGUCACCCCAUUGAUUGCCAGGGUUGAUUCAGCUGAUCUGGCUGGCUAGGCAGGUGUUCUCUUCCUCCCUUACCGCUCCAUGUGCGUCCCUCCCGAAGCUGUGUGUUUGAUCAAAGAGAACAACUUUCCUUGAUAGAGGUGGUACUGUUCAUCAGUCAAGGGUAUAUGGUAGCUGCACUCUCCUGCUAGAACCUCCAAAAAAGCUCAGGGUCCUGUUGCAGGAGAAUGUAGGAUAGUCAAGCUUCCAAGACUGCAGACACAUCCACGUGAGGCACUGCAUGGGGUAGUCUGACAUUGGU
rnacentral:snRNA from 1 species